GACGAACGCUGGCGGCGUGCUUAACACAUGCAAGUCGAACGGAAAGGCCCUGCUUUUGUGGGGUGCUCGAGUGGCGAACGGGUGAGUAACACGUGAGUAACCUGCCCUUGACUUUGGGAUAACUUCAGGAAACUGGGGCUAAUACCGGAUAGGAGCUCCUGCUGCAUGGUGGGGGUGGGAAAGUUUCGGCGGUUGGGGAUGGACGCGCGGCUUAUCAGCUUGUUGGUGGGGUAGUGGCUUACCAAGGCUUUGACGGGUAGCCGGCCUGAGAGGGUGACCGGCCACAUUGGGACUGAGAUACGGCCCAGACUCCUACGGGAGGCAGCGGUGGGGAAUAUUGCACAAUGGGCGGAAGCCUGAUGCAGCAACGCCGCGUGCGGGAUGACGGCCUUCGGGUUGUAAACCGCUUUCGCCUGUGACGAAGCGUGAGUGACGGUAAUGGGUAAAGAAGCACCGGCUAACUACGUG
rnacentral:rRNA from 1 species